AACCUCCCAUCCCCCACUACUCUAGAUAAUGAAUUUGAAAACCUGGAUAGCAUUCCUUUAUAUGUGGAGCCUUUCUCAUAUUUUACGAGCUCCCUCAAAUUCUUCCGCACCUUGUUUCCCUAAUUGAUCAAAGACUUCAGUCUCUCCUAGUCAAUCAAAUACAAAGGAAAAUCAACCUGAAAUGAUCUAUUUAUGCAGCCUAGCUAGCACAACUUUCGGCCAGCCAGUUUCAAGGUUAUUUCGAUCGAGUAUUCGACCAAACCAGCAAACGUUCAUUCAGCAUGAAUUCGGAGGAGAGAGCACAGCGCAAUCACAGCGGCAAUUCUUAUCCUAGCCUUAGUUUUCUGUCUUCGACCAUAAUAAUUCUUUGAAAAUGUUUCCCCAUAAGAAAAGACAAGGGAAAUUCUUUUAUAUCUGAUACACUAUGUUGUCUUUGAUUUCCUCCACUGAGGCCACACGUUAUGCAGAAUUUAAUUAAAGCAGGCUAUUAACAA